CAAUAGCGUAUAUUAAAGUUGUUGCAGUUAAAAAGCUCGUAGUUGGAUUUGUGGCGUACGGUGUGUUCCGGGCACUUGUUGUCUGAGUAACCUGCUGUUGCCAUCCUUGGGUGGAACCUGUGUGGCAUUAGGUUGUCGUGCAGGGGAUGCCCAUCAUUUACUGUGAAAAAAUUAGAGUGUUCAAAGCAGGCUUAUGCCGUUGAAUAUAUUAGCAUGGAAUAAUGAGAUAGGACUUUUUUGCUAUUUUGUUGGUAUGCGCAAAGAGGUAAUGAUUAAUAGGGACAGUUGGGGGUAUUCGUAUUCCAUUGUCAGAGGUGAAAUUCUUGGAUUUUUGGAAGACGAACUACUGCGAAAGCAUUUACCAAGGAUGUUUUCAUUAA
rnacentral:rRNA from 1 species